rnacentral:rRNA from 1 species
AUGGCAAGGAUAAAUUACUACGCAAUUUUGGCACUAUCCAGAUCAAAGAUUCAUGUCCUAAAAUAUUUUGCUCGGCUUCAUGCAAUUGAACUGUUAUCGCAUAUUUACGAGCCCCUAGGAAAGUCGGCAUUCAGGUCACCUACUAAAGCUCCUCCUCGCCACCGCGUGUGCACAUCGGCGUGGCCACCCUUCUGUCCAACUGUCCCAAGUUGGUUAUUGUUGGUUUUUGCUCAUGCACAAGCACAACCCAUCAUAGGAAUCAGUAGGACCAUCUUGAUGGAUGUAAGGACCGCAACAGGGUUUAUUCAGGGGCAUGUACAAGACUCCUAUAUGCUGUUAGCUCCUCCCAAACAUAGUAAGGCUUUGUUUUUUUGGAUGAUACCCCCUCCACCAGAGGCUCAGCACAACAAGGACAUUUUCCAACAAGAAAUUAAUUUGAAUGAGGGUUGCUGGUGA